CCAAAUUUGACCUCAAAUCAGGUAGGACUACCCGCUGAACUUAAGCAUAUCAAUAAGCGGAGGAAAAGAAACCAACAGGGAUUGCCUCAGUAACGGCGAGUGAAGCGGCAAAAGCUCAAAUUUGAAAUCUGGCUGCUUUUUUAGUAGUCCGAGUUGUAAUUUGAAGAAUAGAUCCUUGGAGAGGCGCCUUGUCUAUGUUCCUUGGAACAGGACGUCGCAGAGGGUGAGAAUCCCGUUUGGCGAGGUGUGCUGAUCCGUGUAAGGGCUGUUCGACGAGUCGAGUUGUUUGGGAAUGCAGCUCUAAGUGGGUGGUAAAUUCCAUCUAAAGCUAAAUAUUGGCGAGAGACCGAUAGCGAACAAGUACAGUGAUGGAAAGAUGAAAAGAACUUUGAAAAGAGAGUGAAAAAGUACGUGAAAUUGUUGAAAGGGAAGGUUAUUAGAUCAGACUUGGAUUUUUUAUUAUAUUUGUCUCCUUGUGGGGCAUUCACUAAUUUUUAAUCCAGGCCAGCAUCGAUUGGGAUGGCGGGAAAAAGAGGGAGGAACGUGGCUGUGCAUUUAUGUGCAGUGUUUAUAGCCUUUCUUAAUACCGCCUGUCUCGAUCGAGGACUGCGGC
rnacentral:rRNA from 1 species